rnacentral:rRNA from 1 species
GCAUAUCAAUAAGCGGAGGAAAAGAAACUACCAAGGAUUCCCCUAGUAACUGCGAGUGAAGCGGGAAAAGCUCAAAUUUAAAAUCUGGCAGUCUUUGGCUGUCCGAGUUGUAAUCUGGAGAAGCGUCUUCCGCGCUGGACCGUGUACAAGUCUCCUGGAACGGAGCGUCAUAGAGGGUGAGAAUCCCGUCUUUGACACGGACUACCAGUGCUCUGUGAUGCGCUCUCAAAGAGUCGAGUUGUUUGGGAAUGCAGCUCAAAAUGGGUGGUAAACUCCAUCUAAAGCUAAAUAUUGGCGAGAGACCGAUAGCGAACAAGUACCGUGAGGGAAAGAUGAAAAGCACUUUGGAAAGAGAGUUAAACAGUACGUGAAAUUGCUGAAAGGGAAACGCUUGAAGUCAGUCGCGUUUGCUAGGACUCAGCCUGGUUUCGGCCUGGUGCACUUCCUAGUAAACGGGCCAGCAUCACUUUUGGCUGCGGGAAAAAGGUUAGAGGAAUGUGGCACCCUCGGGUGUGUUAUAGCCUCUAGCUGUAUACCGUGGCUGGGAGUGAGGAACUCAGCACGCCUUCUGGCGGGGCUUCGGCCACCUUCGUGCUUAGGAUGCUGGCGUAAGGCUUUAAACGACCCGUCUUGAAACACGGACCAA